UCUCUCCAUCUUUUGGGAUUCAGUUCAGUCCCCACAUGAUUUGUGAAGCCUCCUCAGACCACUCCAGUGCCCUUUGUUUCCCACUUCUCUGAACUCUCAUUGCUCUUAUCAUUUUCAGAAACAAGGUAAACACAUGGAAGAUUCAAGUGAGAAUUGAACUGGAACCCAGAAGAAAAAUCAGAUUCAUCAAAUGAAUCUUCGGCCAACAACUGUUCGAGAACAAUGUUAACAUCAUGCACAAGGAUGCUAUGUUGUCUAGGAGUUGACAUUUUCGGCAAUCAAGAAUUACUAUAUUUUGUAAAUGAGAAUACCGCUAUAGGAUACUAUAAACAGAAUGAUGCCUUUUGUUUCCAAAGUCGAUAUACGAGAGUGAUGUGAAAGUAAUAAUAAAAGCAAGAUAUUUUGUGGCAAA